rnacentral:lncRNA from 1 species
CCAAAAUAGAGUAGCCACACCCAAAGUAUGCAUUUCAAAAAGUCCUGCAUUUCAAAAAGUUUCAGACAUCACUGAAAAAGGACAUCUAUGCAUUUGAGUUUCACCUCCUGAGCACCAGCAUUAGCAAAGUCAGAUACAAACCCAGAGACCAAUGUACACAAAACAGUGACCAAGAUCCAGACAUUUCUAAGCUCCUCAGUUUACUGUGCUGUGAGGGAUCUGUGUCAGGUCUUGAGCUGUGUCUGGGAAUUGUUUGGAAACUUAACUGUUUCUGGCCAGAACCAUCCAAAGGAUGUACCUCGCAAUUUAACACUGCUAUGAUUGAAUUCUGCUUCCAGGGAUCAAUCCCAGAUACUGCUCAGCUCAUUUGUGUGAUCAUACCCAGAAGCUCUGGUCCAAGCCUGGGUCGUUGUCAUCCACCUGGAUGCACUGGAGCUGCAUGUCCAUACUCAGCUAUUGUGUGGGACAGACCACCUGCCACUCAGGAUUCAGUUUCUCAGGUGAUGAUGGAGAGCAGAUCCUUGGAGUACUCCACUGAAGGGGGGAAAAAAAUCAACAACAAAAAAACAAGAGAAAGGAAUAACCAGUAG